GUCCAAGUUACAACACACGGUUCUUUCCUCUCCAGCUUCCUUCACCGCCUUUGCUCCUUUCCCAAGUUCUCUCGUUGUCGCUCAAACGCUAGCCCCUCUGUUUCCUCUAGUUUGUCAAAUCUGCUCACCAUCUCCUCCGUGAAGUGCUGUAUGUGAUUCGAAUCUACUGCAGCUGCACGAGCGUCCUGCCACCGUCGCCUCCAACCUCCGUCGCCUCCACCGAUGACCAUCGUAGAUUUUUCUCCUUCACCUUUUUUUUUUGCUAGGUUUCACGUUUUUACAAGAGGCGAAAGGCUCUUCACCCAAUCCAAACCGUACUUUUGACCUAGAUCUGCUCGCUGUUCAUGCCUUCCUCUUCUGCUCUGCUCCUUUGCUUCUGGAUACCUGUCGCCGUUCAACGUAACUGCCGUAAAGAGGGCAAAGGAGCUUGGCGCCAUUGUUGUUGGAAAGACCAAUCUAGAUGAGUUCGGUAUGGGUAGCACCACUAAAGAUUCUGCAUUUCAGGUCACAGCCAAUCCAUGGGAUCUUUCUAGGGUGCCAGGAGGAUCAUCAGGAGGAUCGGCACCUGCAGUUUUUGC